GACGAACGCUGGCGGCGUGCUUAACACAUGCAAGUCGAACGGGUCUGCCCUGUUUUUUGCGGGGUGGGUCAGUGGCGAACGGGUGAGUAACACGUGAGUAACCUGCCCCUCACUUCUGGAUAACCGCUUGAAAGGGUGGCUAAUACGGGGUGUUCUGGCUGUGCCGCAUGGUGUGGCUGGGAAAGAUUCACUUUUGUGGUGUUUUGGUGGGGGAUGGGCUCGCGGCCUAUCAGCUUGUUGGUGGGGUGAUGGCCUGCCAAGGCUUUGACGGGUAGCCGGCCUGAGAGGGUGGGCGGUCACACUGGGACUGAGAUACGGCCCAGACUCCUGCGGGAGGCAGCAGUGGGGGGUAUUGCACAAUGGGCGGAAGCCUGAUGCAGCGACGUCGCGUGAGGGAUGGAGGCCUUCGGGUUGUGAACCUCUUUCGCCGGUGAAGAAGGUCCUGCUCUUUGUGGUGGGGUUGACGGUAGCCGGGUUAUGAAGCGCUGGCUAACUACGUG
rnacentral:rRNA from 1 species